rnacentral:rRNA from 1 species
CAGAUUGAACGCUGGCGGAUGCUUUACACAUGCAAGUCGAACGGCAGCACGGACUUCGGUCUGUGGCGAGUGGCGAACGGGUGAGUAAUGUAUCGGAACGUGCCUAGUAUGGGGAUAAUCACGCGCAGCAAAAUAGCUAAUACGCAUACGCCCUUCGGGGGAAAGCGGGGGACCUUCGGGCCUCGCACUAUUAGAGCGCCGAUAUCGGAUUAGCUGGUUGGUGGGGUAACGGCUCACCAAGGCGACGAUCCGUGGCUGGUUUGAGAGGACGACCAGCCACACUGGGACUGAGACACGGCCCAGAUCUACGGGAGGCAGCAGUGGGGAAUUUUAAUGGGGGGAAACCCUGAUCCAGCCACUGGCGUGUGCGAUGAAGGCCUUCGGGUUGUAAAGCACUUUUGGCAGGAAAGAAACGGUACGAUGAUUCCCAGCAACUGACGGUACCUGCAAUACACCACAACUACGAUGCGCCAGCAGCCGCGGUAAAUACGUAGGAAAGCGUUAACGGAAUUACUGGGCGGAAGUGGCAGAGUACCCGGAAAGAAAGAUGAAAUCCCAGAGCUUAACUCUGGAACUGCAUUUUUAACUACUCGGAGCCAGAGUGUGUCAGAGAGGUGGAAUCUCGCGUAGCAGUGAAAAUGCAGAUAUGUGGAGGAACACCGAUGGCGAAGUGCAGCUCCUGGGAUAACACUGACGCUCAUGCACGAAAGCGUGGGGAGCAAACAGGAUUAGAUACCCCGGUAGUCCACGCCCUAAACGAUGUCAACUAGCUGUUGGGGCCUUCGGGCCUUGGUAUAAAGCUAAUCGCAGGAAGCAUCGCCUGGGGAGUACGGUCGCAAGAUUAAAACCAAAGGAAUUGACGGGGACCCGCACAAGGGCAUUAUGGAUUAAUUCGAUGCAACGCGAAAACCUUACCUACCCUUGACAUGUCUGGAAUCCCGAAGAGAUUUGGGAGUGCCUGCAAGAGAACCGAACACAGGUGCUGUAUGGCUGUCGUCAGCUCGUGUCGAGAUGCCGGGGCGAGCCGCAUCGAAUCCCGCUGCUGAGUCGCCGAGCGGGCCUUAACGAGACUGCUGGUGGACAAACCGAGAAUGGGGAUGACGCCAAGUCCCGCGGCCUUUAUGGGUAGGGCCUUCACAUCGCCAGCAAUGAUCGGACGAGGGUCGCUUAACCCGCGGAGGGGGAGCCAAUCCUGCAAACCCGAUCGUAGUCCGGAUCGCAGUCUGCAACUCGACUGCGUGAAGUCGGAAUCGCUAGUAAUCGCGGAUCAGCAUGUCGCGGUGAAUACGUUCCCGGUCUUGUACACACCGCCCGUCACACCAUGGAGUGGGCUUUACCAGAAGUAGUUAGCCUAACCGUAAGGAGGGCGAUUACCACGGUAGGAUCUUGAUGGACUGGGGUGAAGUCGUAACAAGGUAA